GAUGAACGCUGGCGGCGUGCCUAAUACAUGCAAGUCGAGCGAACAGACGAGGAGCUUGCUCCUCUGACGUUAGCGGCGGACGGGUGAGUAACACGUGGAUAACCUACCUAUAAGACUGGGAUAACUUCGGGAAACCGGAGCUAAUACCGGAUAAUAUAUUGAACCGCAUGGUUCAAUAGUGAAAGACGGUUUUGCUGUCACUUAUAGAUGGAUCCGCGCCGCAUUAGCUAGUUGGUAAGGUAACGGCUUACCAAGGCAACGAUGCGUAGCCGACCUGAGAGGGUGGAAGGAGACAGGGGCACUGAGACACGGUGGAGACUACUAAGGGAGGGAGCAGGAGGGAGGCGUCAGGAAGUGGAGAAAGUGGGACGGCGAAAAGAAGAGGGAGGGAUGAAGGUACUAGGAUCUAAAAACGUGGGUAUUAGGGAAGAACAAAUGUGUACGUAACUAUGCACGACUGAAGGGGAGCUAAUAAGAAAGCCACGGCUAGCUAAGUG
rnacentral:rRNA from 1 species